AUAGCCGGCGAUAGCACGUUGAACGGUGCACAGUUCCCAAUUGAUCACUGAAGUUAAGCAACAUUGUGUGUGGUUUUUUAGGAUGGGUGACCUGGUCACCGUGACCUGCUGGGCAAACCCGAGCUGGCUUUU
rnacentral:rRNA from 1 species